AUGCAUUCAAUCUAGGCUUCUCAGAGCUCCUAAAGAUCUUCUCUUUCUCUCUCUCUCCCAGUUGUGUUCUCUUUCUCUCUCUCUCUCUCUGUCUCUCUACCCCCAUAAACUUACCACCACCCCUUCAUUUUUUCUUCAAUGAUUUUUUUCGGAUAAAAAGCCAAAAAUUUAGAAAAUUUCCCUUUUUCUCACUCACGCUUUUUCACCUUCCAAAUCAAGAUUUUUUAUUUCUCAUAAAAAUCGGCUAUCUACACACUAGUGUUCAGGGAAUGGUGAAUUACGAUAUUUUAAUUCUUGAUUGGUAGCAUGUUUUGGCUGGAAUUUGGAUAAUUGCUAUUUGAUAAUCAGAGGUAGAGGGGAAUACCAAGGUAGAUAGAUGUCUUCGUCUUCUUCGAUGGUUGCUUCCAAUGAAAGGUGGAUUGACCGUCUUCAGUUCUCUUCAUUGUUCUGGCCUCCUCCACUAGAUGGUCAACAAAGAAAGGAUCAAAUUGCUGCAUAUGUUGAAUACUUCAUUCAGUUUACAUCAGAACAAUUCGCUGAUGAUAUUGCUGAGUUGAUCCGUAACCGUUAUCCAUCGAAGGAAAUUCUUCUCUUUGAUGAUGUUUUGGCGACAUUUGUCCUUCAUCAUCCAGAGCAUGGGCAUGCAGUUGUUCUUCCAAUUAUUUCAUGUAUUAUUGAUGGUACACUAGUCUAUGAUAAGGCUAGUCCUCCAUUCGCCUCUUUCAUAUCUUUAGUCUGCCCAAAAAGUGAGAAUGAAUACUCAGAACAGUGGGCUCUGGCAUGUGGUGAAAUUUUGCGCAUAUUAACUCAUUACAAUCGUCCUAUUUACAAAACUGAAAGACAGUAUGGUGAAACAGAAAGAAGCAGUAGUGGUAGCCAUGCCACUACUAGUGAUCCUGCUGUUGGGAAAUCUGGCCAUAAUUCUUUAACACAGCAAGAGAAGAGACCUAUAAGGCCUUUGUCCCCCUGGAUUACGGAUAUAUUGUUGGCUGCACCAGUAGGCAUUAGAAGUGACUACUUCCGGUGGUGCAGUGGUGUUAUGGGUAAAUAUGCUGCAGGAGAACUCAAGCCUCCAUCAACUGCUUCUUCUCGUGGUUCUGGGAAGCAUCCUCAACUCGUGCCUUCAACUCCAAGAUGGGCUGUUGCCAAUGGUGCUGGUGUUAUAUUAAGCGUUUGUGAUGAUGAAGUUGCUCGUAAUGAGACUGCUACUUUAACAGCUGCUGCAGUCCCUGCACUUUUGCUUCCCCCUCCAACAACAGCUGUGGAUGAACAUCUUGUUGCUGGAUUACCAGCCCUAGAACCAUAUGCACGUUUAUUUCAUAGAUAUUAUGCAAUUGCUACUCCAAGUGCUACACAAAGACUUCUUCUUGGACUUCUAGAAGCGCCCCCAUCAUGGGCUCCAGAUGCACUUGAUGCUGCAGUGCAGCUUGUGGAGCUUCUUCGAGCUGCAGAAGAUUAUGCAUCUGGCAUAAGGCUUCCUAGAAAUUGGAUGCAUUUGCAUUUCUUGCGUGCAAUAGGGACUGCAAUGUCCAUGAGAGUUGGUAUAGCUGCAGAUGCUGCUGCUGCUCUGCUUUUUCGAAUACUUUCUCAGCCUGCAUUGCUUUUUCCUCCUCUUAGGCAAGUUGAUGGAGUUGAAGUUCAGCACGAACCUUUGGGUGGUUAUAUUUCUUCAUAUAAAAAGCAGAUAGAAGUUCCUGCAGCUGAAGCCUCAAUUGAGGCUACUGCCCAAGGCAUUGCAUCAAUGCUUUGUGCCCAUGGUCCUGAGGUUGAAUGGAGAAUAUGCACCAUUUGGGAAGCUGCUUAUGGCCUGAUUCCUACAAGUUCCUCUGCUGUUGAUCUUCCAGAUAUUAUAGUUGCAACCCCCCUACAACCUCCCAUACUGUCAUGGAAUUUGUACAUUCCCCUACUAAAGGUCUUGGAAUAUCUUCCUCGUGGAAGCCCAUCAGAAGCAUGUCUCAUGAAAAUAUUUGCUGCUACGGUAGAAGCUAUUCUUCAGAGGACAUUUCCCCCCGAGGCCACUAGAGAACAAAACAGAAAAUCAAAAUACCUAUCUGGAAUUGGUUCUGCCUCUAAAAACCUUGCUGUGGCAGAACUUCGUACCAUGGUUCAUUCACUGUUCUUGGAAUCGUGUGCAUCUGUAGAGCUUGCUUCACGCCUACUUUUUGUUGUCUUAACUGUCUGUGUUAGUCAUGAAGCCCAAUUCAAUGGAAGCAAGAGGCCUAGAGGUGAAGAUAACUAUUCAGUGGAGGAAAUUGGUGAGGACUUGCAAACAACAUCUGAGAACCAAAAAGAGAGAAGAAAUAGGAAAACAAAGAAGCAAGGUCCGGUAGCAGCAUUUGAUUCUUACGUUUUGGCUGCUGUUUGUGCUCUUGCCUGUGAGCUUCAGUUGUUCCCUUUGAUAUCCCGAGGGAAUAAUCAUUCAGUUUCCAAUAAUGUGCAAGAUAUAGCCAAGCCUGUUAGACUAAAUGGAUCAUCCCAUGAGUUGCGGAAUGGCUUAGAUUCAGCAGUACGUCAUACUCACAGAAUUUUGGCAAUUUUAGAGGCCCUAUUUUCAUUGAAGCCAUCUUCUGUCGGCACCCCAUGGAGUUACAGCUCAAAUGAAAUAGUUGCAGCAGCAAUGGUUGCUGCACAUGUUUCUGAACUAUUUAGAAGGUCAAAAGCUUGCAUGCAUGCUCUAUCUGUUUUGAUUCGCUGCAAAUGGGACAAUGAAAUUCACUCCAGGGCAUCAUCAUUGUAUAAUCUCAUUGACAUUCACAGCAAAGCUGUUGCAUCUAUAGUGAACAAGGCCGAGCCAUUAGAAGCAAACUUAAUUCACACACCUCUUUGGAAGGACUCUCUUGUUUGUUUUGAUGGUAAAAGACAGAAUCAGUGUGAAAGUAGUAGCUGCUUUGACCCUGGGCAGACAUCUGUUGUACCUAUGGAAGAUUCAUUCCCGUCAAAAAUUAACCAUAGUUCUGAAAGAACUCCAUGUUCAAAUGAAGCAUCGGGGUGUAGCUUGGGUAAAGGUGUCACAGGUUUCUCAUUGGAUGCUUCUGAUCUUGCCAACUUCCUCACAAUGGACAGGCAUAUAGGACUUAAUUGCAAUGCACAAAUUUUCCUGAGAUCAAUGCUGGCAGAGAAACAAGAGUUAUGUUUCUCUGUAGUUUCACUAUUAUGGCACAAGUUGAUUGCAUCUCCUGAAACUCAACCUUUCGCAGAAAGCACUUCUGCCCAACAGGGAUGGAGACAGGUUGUUGAUGCAUUAUGCAAUGUUGUAUCAGCCUCACCAACAAAAGCAGCUACAGCAGUUGUUCUUCAGGUCCAAAAUUUCGUCUUCUCAUGAGUGGUUUCUUUAAUUACUCUGAGCUCUAACUUGGACGCAUAUUCUGUUUAGCAAUAGCAAUUACCUUUUUUAGCCCCACCCAAAAAAAAUAUAUUACCAUUUUUUAAACAGAUUGCCAAAAUUUAUGAACUAUCAUUCCUAAUACCUUUGAAAACUGUCUUUUAAUGUCUUGAAAGUUCAAUAGCUGAUGCUGAAGAUGUCAUCUAUCCACUGUUUAUUGUAAUUUUUUUUAAUUAUUAUUUCCAACAUUCACUUGUUUAGUCACUUUCCUGGGCUUGUUUGCUUGUCAGGCGGAGAGGGAAUUGCAGCCCUGGAUUGCUAAGGAUGAUGAUCUUGGUCAGAAGAUGUGGCGAAUCAAUCAGCGGAUUGUAAAAUUGAUAGUGGAACUAAUGCGGAAUCAUGACACUGCUGAAUCGUUGGUAAUUGUGGCAAGUGCCUCAGAUUUACUACUGCGAGCCACAGAUGGGAUGCUGGUUGAUGGAGAAGCUUGCACUUUACCACAGCUGGAGCUAUUGGAAGCAACAGCUAGAGCAGUUCAGCCGGUGCUAGAGUUUGGAGAAUCUGGAUUAGCUGUGGCGGAUGGCCUUUCAAAUCUUUUAAAGAAUUGUGAAAAUGCCAGUGUCGCCUGUCGGCUACUAUUAGAUGCCUCUCUCAUCCAAGUGCACACGUCCGAACCCUGAGCAUAUCGGUACUUCGUGACAUUUUGCACACUGGUUCAAUCAGAUCUAGUCCUAAACCACUGCGAAUAAAUGGCAUCCACAACCCGUCUUUCCAGUACUUCAAUUUGGAUGUCAUUGACUGGCAAGCUGACAUAGAAAAAUGCUUGACAUGGGAAGCGCAUAGCCGAAUUUCCAGUGACUUGUCUAUUACGUUUCUUGAUACAGCUGCCAAAGAAUUAGGCUGUACUAUUUCCAUAUGAAAUGAAAUUAAACCAUGUAGAACCAACCAUCUUAGUCUGUGACAAUUUUUUACUAUAGGAAAAAAGACAUGUUAUUUAUGCUUUUGGAACUAACGGGUUUGCAAAUAAGCAACAUCAUUCUGCUAGUCCUGUUAAAA